GACGAACGCUGGCGGCGUGCUUAACACAUGCAAGUCGAACGGAAAGGCCCUGCUUUUGUGGGGUGCUCGAGUGGCGAACGGGUGAGUAACACGUGAGUAACCUGCCCUUGACUUUUGGAUAACUUCAGGAAACUGGGGCUAAUACCGGAUAGGAGCUCCUGCUGCAUGGUGGGGGUUGGAAAGUUUCGGCGGUUGGGGAUGGACUCGCGGCUUAUCAGCUUGUUGGUGGGGUAGUGGCUUACCAAGGCUUUGACGGGUAGCCGGCCUGAGAGGGUGACCGGCCACAUUGGGACUGAGAUACGGCCCAGACUCCUACGGGAGGCAGCAGUGGGGAAUAUUGCACAAUGGGCGGAAGCCUGAUGCAGCAACGCCGCGUGCGGGAUGACGGCCUUCGGGUUGUAAACCGCUUUCGCCUGUGACGAAGCGUGAGUGACGGUAAUGGGAAAAGAAGCACCGGCUAACUACGUG
rnacentral:rRNA from 1 species